UUUUCGUAGGUGAACCUGCGGAGGGAUCAUUACUGAGUGAGGGUUUAACCGCCCGACCUCCAACCCCCUGUCUUCCGACUCUGUUGCCUCGGGGGCGACCCUGCCGUCCGCGGCUGAGCGCCCCCGGGGUCAAUCAAACACUGCAUUCUCUGCGUCGGAGUAUUAGUAAAUCUAAUCAAAACUUUCAACAACGGAUCUCUUGGUUCUGGCAUCGAUGAAGAACGCAGC
rnacentral:misc_RNA from 1 species